rnacentral:rRNA from 1 species
AGCAGCCGCGGUAAUUCCAGCUCCAAUAGCGUAUAUUAAAGUUGUUGCAGUUAAAAAGCUCGUAGUUGAAUUUCGGGAUCAAGUCGUCGGUCGUGCCUCGGUACGCACUGGUGACAUUGGUUUCUCCCUUCUGAAGAACCUUGAUGUCAUUAAUUUGGUGUUUUGGGGAAUCAGGACUGUUACUUUGAAAAAUUAGAGUGUUUAAAGCAGGCUCACGCUUGAAUACAUUAGCAUGGAAUAAUGAAAUAGGACGUUUGAUUCUAUUUUGUUGGUUUCUAGGAUCGACGUAAUGAUUAAUAGGGAUAGUUGGGGGCAUUAGUAUUCAAUUGUCAGAGGUGAAAUUCUUGGAUUUAUUGAAGACUAACUACUGCGAAAGCAUUUGCCGAGGAUGUUUUCAUUAAUCAAGAACGAAGUUAGGGGAUCGAAGACGAUCAGAUACCGUCGUAGUCUUAACCAUAAACUAUGCCGACUAGGGAUCGGAUGAUGUUAAUUUUUUAAUGACUCAUUCGGCGCCUUAAC